UACGAAGGGUGCAAGCGUUAAUCGGAAUUACUGGGCGUAAAGGGUGCGUAGGCGGUUCGUUAAGUCUGUUGUGAAAUCCCCGGGCUCAACCUGGGAAUGGCAAUGGAUACUGGCGAGCUAGAGUGUGAUAGAGGAUGGUGGAAUUCCCGGUGUAGCGGUGAAAUGCGUAGAGGUCGGGAGGAACAUCAGUGGCGAAGGCGGCCAUCUGGAUCAACACUGACGCUGAAGCACGAAAGCGUGGGGAGCAAACAGG
rnacentral:rRNA from 1 species